rnacentral:tRNA from 1 species
GGCUCCAUAGUGUAGGGACUAGCGCAUCUGCUUUACAUGCAGAAGGUCUUGGGUUCAUGCCCCAGGCGGAGCCA